AUAUGGGUUGAUAAUGAUGACACCAUCGGGUUCCGUACGCACCAUCUGUAUAUUAUUGAUUAAUCUGUGGCUAUAGCAUAUUUAAUUUUAACUCAUAUUUUUCCUCUGCAAGUGCGAUAAGCGUCCGGAUUUUCAAUAUAAACAGACGGCAAACAGGAAUAUCGUUCAUACGCAGCUCCGGGAGCGAUCAGCGAGCGUAGUGUUUUUGAAACGGACCUUUCUCUACAUAAAUACAUAAUCGAAUAAUGUCCGACUGCGACCGCAUCGUCUUCCCGGACGAAGUUGAACAAAUCAAGGCUCAAAUAGCCGCGGAGAACAAAGCAUCAGCAAGGCAGCAAUCAAUAGAUGACCCAGAAAUAGUGCUUGAACAUUUCGUUAAAGUGCCGCCAAAUCUUAUGACCUCACCAUCAGACGACAAAAUGGAUGCUAUCGUUUUCAAAUAAAUUAAAUUAUACCAUAA